AUUUCUAUUCCAUGUCCUAACUUCCUCCAAACAAAUACCCCUAAAAGUUAUGUUAAUACUUUUUAGUUCCUUUCAUGAUACAUCUAAAUAGACCAUUGAUACUAUUUUAAAGUGCACUCAUCUUGAAAUUUUACUAAACUUUGAUGUAAAGGACCUACGUAUUUUAGUUACGUUGGACAUGUUGAGAUAGAUUAUGUUGCUUUAUAAAAAUUCUUUGUGUACCGCUC
rnacentral:lncRNA from 1 species